rnacentral:tRNA from 1 species
GGGAAUAUGGCAGAGUUAGGUAAUGCGGUAUUAAUUAAUGCGUCACACAUAGGUUCAAAUCCUGUUAUUCCCGCCA